rnacentral:rRNA from 1 species
AGUGAACGCUGGCGGUAGGCCUAACACAUGCAAGUCGAACGGCAGCACAGUAAGAGCUUGCUCUUACGGGUGGCGAGUGGCGGACGGGUGAGGCAUACAUCGGAAUCUACUUUUUCGUGGGUGAUAACGUAGGGAAACUUACGCUAAUACCGCAUACGACCUACGGGUGAAAGCAGGGGAUCUUCGGACCUUUCGCGAUUGAAUGAGCCGAUGUCGGAUUAGCUAGUUGGCGGGGUAAAGGCCCACCAAGGCGACGAUCCGUAGCUGGUCUGAGAGGAUGAUCGGCCACACUGGAACUGAGACACGGUCCAGACUCCUACGGGAGGCAGCAGUGGGGAAUAUUGGACAAUGGGCGCAAGCCUGAUCCAGCCAUGCCGCGUGGGUGAAGAAGGCCUUCGGGUUGUAAAGCCCUGUUGUUGGGAAAGAAAAGCAGCAGGUUAAUACCCCGCUGUUCUGACGGUACCCAAAGAGUAAGCACCGGCUAACUUCGUG